UACGUAGGGGGCUAGCGUUGUCCGGAAUCAUUGGGCGUAAAGAGCGUGUAGGCGGCUUGGUAAGUCCGCUGUGAAAGUCCAGGGCUCAACCCUGGAAUGCCAGUGGAUACUGUCAAGCUAGAGUCCGGAAGAGGCGAGUGGAAUUCCUGGUGUAGCGGUGAAAUGCGCAGAUAUCAGGAGGAACACCGGUGGCGAAGGCGGGUCUCUGGGCCGAUACUGACGCUGAGGAGCGAAAGCGUGGGGAGCGAACAGG
rnacentral:rRNA from 1 species